rnacentral:rRNA from 1 species
UACGAAGGGUGCAAACGUUGCUCGGAAUCAUUGGGCGUAAAGCGCACGUAGGCGGCUUCGCAAGUCGGAUGUGAAAUCCCAUGGCUCAACCAUGGACGUGCAUCCGAAACUGCGGAGCUUGAGUACUGAAGAGGAUCGACGGAAUUCCCGGUGAGAGGUGAAAUUCGUAGAUAUUCGCAAGAACACCAGUGGCGAAGGCGGCUCACUGGCCCGGUACUGACGCUGAGGUGCGAAAGCGUGGGGAGCAAACAGG